rnacentral:rRNA from 1 species
GUUGGGUAGGGGAGCGUUCUGUAAGCCUGUGAAGGUGUGUCGUGAGGCAUGCUGGAGGUAUCAGAAGUGCGAAUGCUGACAUAAGUAACGAUAAAGCGGGUGAAAAGCCCGCUCGCCGGAAGACCAAGGGUUCCUGUCCAACGUUAAUCGGGGCAGGGUGAGUCGACCCCUAAGGCGAGGCCGAAAGGCGUAGUCGAUGGGAAACGGGUUAAUAUUCCCGUACUUGGUGUUACUGCGAAGGGGGGACGGAGAAGGCUAUGUUGGCCGGGCGACGGUUGUCCCGGUUUAAGCGUGUAGGUGUGUGUUCCAGGUAAAUCCGGUUCACUUUAACACUGAGGCGUGACGACGAGGCACUACGGUGCUGAAGCAACAAAUGCCCUGCUUCCAGGAAAAGCCUCUAAGCAUCAGGUAACACG